rnacentral:lncRNA from 9 species
CCAGUCUGUCUGGGAUGGUUGUUCACCCUCCCUAAUUCCCCAGGGCUUCUGCUCAUCCACAGGUUCUGCUCCUGCCCUUCCAGGUGACACAGAACAGUGGUGCUCCUCCCUGCAUCAGUGAAGCGUUUGAAGGUGCAUCUGGGCCCUCCCAUCUUCUCGGGCUUGACAUCCUCAGCCUUGUGGGCCUUCUUCACAUGGCGCAGAGUGGCAAAGGCUGCUGGCUGACUUAGAACAAGUCUCUUCCAGCCUACUGACCAGACUGCACUUCCCGGUCUCUUUUGCAGGGCCCUGCGUCAGCAGCUCACUCUCCGAUGCACGUGUUCCUCCAGCACAGCCUGGUUUACAGCGGGCCCCCAAGUUGGUCCAGGCGUGGUCUCUGUCCAGAGCUAAGGCCGAUGCGCUCCUUCUUUGAAUCAAGGGCACAGGAGAUUUCAAAGGGGAGGAGGCUCUGUGUGCCCAGGAAACAGGAUCAUGGAAUCAGAGAGUCCAGGGGCACGGCAGUCCAGAUCCUUAAGGACUUUCUGCCAAAACUCGAGUCUAACACCUUGAAGACACAGGAGGAAAACAGAAAGAGCUGGCCUUCCUGGGACCCUGGGAGUUGAACAAGGCUGGGUCCAGAGCGACAAAGAUAGAACAGAAGCAGCUCUAAAAGCCUGGCCAUUCUCUGAACAUGCUAAACUGAAAACAAAUAAUAGGGGUGUGUGUUGAUAACUACCUAACUGCAUAGGAUGAGGACUCAGAAACGUAUACCCUCGAAUCUCUUACUAAAGAUUCUCCGCGCUGAGCACCUGCUCAGAAAGACUGCACACAGAAUGGUCAUUUUCUGGCUUGCUGCAGAUUGGCCAAGUGUCAUGCGAAGAAGUAGAAUCCGCAAGCUUGACCCGCAUCAACAUUGUUUUCUCAUCACUCUGCAGCUUGAGUAUGAGGGAGAUGAAAGAGGAAACGGGGAACCUGCCUCCCUGCUGGGGGGGGGGGCAGCA